rnacentral:rRNA from 1 species
CAGCAGCCGCGGGAAUACGUAGGUGGCGAGCGUUGUCCGGAAUUAUUGGGCGUAAAGGGCUCGCAGGCGGUUUCUUAAGUCUGAUGUGAAAGCCCCCGGCUCAACCGGGGAGGGUCAUUGGAAACUGGGAAACUUGAGUGCAGAAGAGGAGGGUGGAAUUCCACGUGUAGCGGUGAAAUGCGUAGAGAUGUGGAGGAACACCAGUGGCGAAGGCGACUCUCUGGUUUGUAACUGACGCUGAGGAGCGAAAGCGUGGGGAGCGAACAGGAUUAGAUACCCCUGUAGUCCCUGUCUCUUAUAC